rfam:Solanum lycopersicum cultivar Heinz 1706 chromosome 9, whole genome shotgun sequence.
UUAUGGCAAGAGUGAUGAAAACAAAAUUAGAUGUGUGAGAGUUGAAUUCCUCUAUGAGCUCAAUCAUCGAGGCUUAUUGAUAUUCUGACUUGCCUUUA